rnacentral:rRNA from 1 species
UACGUAGGGUGCGAGCGUUAAUCGGAAUUACUGGGCGUAAAGCGUGCGUAGGCGGUUCGCUGUGUCCGAUGUGAAAGCCCCGGGCUUAACUUGGGAAUGGCAUUGGAAACUGGCGGGCUUGAGUGCGGCAGAGGGGGGUGGAAUUCCGCGUGUAGCAGUGAAAUGCGUAGAGAUGCGGAGGAACACCGAUGGCGAAGGCAGCCCCCUGGGUCGACACUGACGCUCAGGCACGAAAGCGUGGGGAGUAAACAGG